rnacentral:lncRNA from 1 species
UGGAAGACUUAAGAUGGCGGCGUUUGCACGGAGUGCAAUCACUGCGUCCUUACGGGGGUUGCAAGGCGUCCGAAGUAUGAGUCCACUAACAAAAGUCCAGAAACUCGCCAGUUAAUAGUAUUGUGAUGGAGUUCGCUCUUGUUGCCCAGGCUGGAAUGCAAUGGCAUGACCUUGGCUCACUGCAACCUCUGCCUCCCCAGUUCAAGUGGUUCUCCUGCCUCAGCCUCCCGAGUAGCUGAGAUUACAGGUACUGGCUCCUGUAUCACCCAGCUCUGGAGUUGAAAGAGCUCUUCAUUCCUGAGUCUCCUGUACCACUGAGAAUAGAAAUACAAAAAAAAUUCUAAAACUUGUAUGGAACUACAAAAGACAUUAAAUAAUCAAAGUAAUCUUGAGCAACAAGGACACAGCUGGAGGCAUCACUCUACCUGAUUUUGUAAUCCAUUAUCAAAAAACUGUGGUACCAGCAUAAAAACAGAUUCACUGACCAGUGGAACAGGAAAGCCCAGACAUAACUCAUACAUUUCCAUCCAAUUGAUUUUUGACAAAAGUGGCACACAGAAUGGGGAGAGGACAAAUAAAUAAAUAAAUUGUUUUGAGAUAUCUGUA